rnacentral:rRNA from 1 species
UACAGAGGGGGCAAGCGUUGUUCGGAAUUACUGGGCGUAAAGCGUGCGCAGGCGGCUAUGCAAGACAGAUGUGAAAUCCCCGGGCUCAACCUGGGAACUGCAUUUGUGACUGCAUGGCUAGAGUACGGCAGAGGGGGAUGGAAUUCCGCGUGUAGCAGUGAAAUGCGUAGAUAUGCGGAGGAACACCGAUGGCGAAGGCAAUCCCCUGGGCCUGUACUGACGCUCAUGCACGAAAGCGUGGGGAGCAAACAGG